CGGAAUUAUGGGCGUAAAGCGUGCGCAGGCGGUUUUGUAAGACAGAGGUGAAAUCCCCGGGCUCAACCUGGGAACUGCCUUUGUGACUGCAAGGCUGGAGUGCGGCAGAGGGGGAUGGAAUUCCGCGUGUAGCAGUGAAAUGCGUAGAUAUGCGGAGGAACACCGAUGGCGAAGGCAAUCCCCUGGGCCUGCACUGACGCUCAUGCACGAAAGCGUGGGGAGCAAACA
rnacentral:rRNA from 1 species